CAGCGGCUCCUUUUGUUCGUUUAGGAGCCAUCAGCAGAUUGUUGGCACGGCAACAAUUACGUUUGCAGCCUCCAAGCCGAGUGAGUGAUACGCUAAUCAAAAUGUCAUCCACCGACAGCUGGUAAAAUUAACUUCCUGCGUCUUGAUUUCCCCACGAGCGGCUCGAGUGGAGGGAGGUGAGCCGUAAGUGUUUCCUCGCCUCAUUCAAUUACAGAGCCGAUUACAAGGGGGCGCGCAGAGAUGUUGGGCACUUUUUCGCUGAGUCGCUGCUUUUCCGACGUCCCACCGCCAGUGUUUUUGCUGGGUCAGAGCGUUCGGAGCUAACGGCAGCAGUUGCUAAGAGUUCAUUAAGAACUUACCAAAUGACAUCGGGGGGACUGGAGGUCCCCAGGCCAGCGUGUACACUGUUUUUCGGUGAUAGGAGCUCGAUAUCUGAGGAGGCCUGGGAGGAGACGAAGCAGAACAAAUGCCCAGUCAGGGACAAGCGACAAGGAGAGCUGCAGGAAAAUGGGACUCUGAGGCCUCGAGGGAUUACGAAGAAUCCACAAGGCUCCCAGCAAACACAAGCUAAGUCAACAGAAGUUCAGCUCCUGAUUUGAACCCCAAAAAUCUCAAACCAGACCAAAGAAAGGCGACCCACCUCUCUAUCCAUGGAGGUGCUGAUGAGCAGCUCUUUCCCGUCCGGCAGCUGAAAGGAACUCGUGUUGAAGACAAUCCUGCUGUGGUUCUGACCCUCCGAAGACGUUCCGAACAGAGUCCACCUCUGCUUCCCUGAUUUAGCCAAGUCCCACAUCAUCAACUCACCACUG